rnacentral:rRNA from 1 species
CGGCGGACGGGUGAGUAACGCGUAGGAAUCUACCCGGUAGUGGGGGACAACUUGUGGAAACGCAAGCUAAUACCGCAUACGCCCUAUGGGGGAAAGCGGGGGAUCUUCGGACCUCGCGCUAUCGGAUGAGCCUGCGUAGGAUUGGCUAGUUGGUGAGGUAAAGGCUCACCAAGGCGACGAUCCUUAGCUGGUCUGAGAGGAUGAUCAGCCACACUGGAACUGAGACACGGUCCAG